rnacentral:rRNA from 1 species
UACGAGAGGACCGGAGUGAACGAACCUCUGGUGUUCGGGUUGUCACGCCAGUGGCACUGCCCGGUAGCUAAGUUCGGAAUCGAUAACCGCUGAAAGCAUCUAAGCGGGAAGCGAGCCCUGAGAUGAGUCAUCCCUGACCCCUUGAGGGUCCUAAAGGGCCGUUGGAGACCACAACGUUGAUAGGUGGGGUGUGUAAGCGUAGCGAUACGUUGAGCUAACCCAUACUAAUUACCCGUGAGGCUUAACCAU